rnacentral:lncRNA from 10 species
AUUACAGGCAUGAGCUACUGUGCCCGGCCAAGAAGCCACACUCUUAAGCACUCUACAGGGAGUGUAGUGCAGCAGAUGCUGGGAGCCUCAGAGCCAGUGAGGUUUUACAUGUAAUGGAGGGACAAUGGAGAUAUGGCAGGUGGAAGCAAAUGAAAAGACUCCAUCAGAGAGGGCUGCAGGGAAGGCAGUGCCCUACCUCAUUCCUGCACCAAGGCAAUCCCUAGGUCUUACUGAGUUAAAAUCCUAUUUCUUGAGUCUGUCUCAUCACCUUAUACUUCCAGCCUGGACUUCUUGCCUCUGACUAAUCGCCUUAGCCGAAGAUCUGGCUCAUCGCCUCUCUCAUCACCUCUCAUUGUCUCAGCCAAAGAUCUGGUUCAGGAGUUACCAUCUCUUGCCCAAAGUGCAGCAACUCCCAACUAGGUUCUGUUCCUGCCUCGCCCCCUCUCCUUCAUUCUGCAGCCACAGUGAUCCACUACAUGCUAAUGUAAGGCCUCAAACUCACCCAUGUCUCCCCACUGCCUUCUAAAUAAUGUGCAAACUCCUUCCGUGGCACAGAAAGCCCAUUGCGAUUUGGCCAUCGCCCACGUCUAUGGCUCUCACCCUCUGCAUACAACUUUACAUAAAGUUUACAUAAAAGGCAUUUGUAAAAGACCAAAGAUAUAAGUAAACGUAGAAGCCAGGAGGCUGAUAAAAGCUGUGAGGGCAAUCUGAAGUGGGCGCUGGCUGUGGACAAAGCAGCAAGAAGGCACGUGAAGCAUGGCAGGGAUGGAAGACUUUCGGGGCCACGGUGAUGGUGAGGCAGUUCUAGAACUGUCCCAGACCCACAAUGAGCUUCUCACUCCUGAACCCUAUCCGAGACAACAGGAGGCCCAGCUGGAAGGCUGUUUCUAGCUUCCUAUGAGAUUUCCAAGUGCCUUAUAUAUCCUUGAAAUAACUCCCAAUCACUUGAGGUAGUUGGAAUAAACCUGCUGUAGACUGAAUGUUUAUGUCCUCCCCAUGAAUUCAUAUACUGAAACCUAACCCCCAAUGUAAUGGAAUUUGGAGGUGGGGGCCUUUGGGGAGGUGAUCAGGUCAUGAGGGCAGAGCUCUCAUGAAUGGGAUUAGUGCCCUUAUAAGACUCAGGGCCAGGUGCAGUGACUCAUGCCUAUAAUCCCAGCGCUUUGAGAGGCCAAGGCAGGAGGAUCGUUUGAGGCCAGGAGUUCAAGACCAGCUUGGGCAACAUAGCAAAAUCUCAUCCCUACAAAAAAUAAAAAAAAUUAGCCAGGUGUGAUGGCACACACCUGCAGUCUGCUACUAGGGAGGCUGAG